rnacentral:rRNA from 2 species
UUUUAUGGAGAGUUUGAUCCUGGCUCAGGACGAACGCUGGCGGCGUGCUUAACACAUGCAAGUCG